rnacentral:rRNA from 1 species
AUUGAACGCUGGCGGCAUGCCUUACACAUGCAAGUCGAACGGCAGCACGGGAGCAAUCCUGGUGGCGAGUGGCGAACGGGUGAGUAAAGUAUCGGAACGUGCCCAGUCGUGGGGGAUAACGUAGCGAAAGUUACGCUAAUACCGCAUACGAUCUAUGGAUGAAAGCGGGGGAUCGCAAGACCUUGCGCGAUUGGAGCGGCCGAUAUCAGAUUAGGUAGUUGGUGGGGUAAAGGCCCACCAAGCCGACGAUCUGUAGCUGGUCUGAGAGGACGACCAGCCACACUGGGACUGAGACACGGCCCAGACUCCUACGGGAGGCGGCAGUGGGGAAUUUUGGACAAUGGGCGAAAGCCUGAUCCAGCCAUGCCGCGUGCAGGAUGAAGGCCUUCGGGUUGUAAACUGCUUUUGUACGGAACGAAAAGGACUGCCCUAAUACGGUGGUCCCAUGACGGUACCGGGAGAGUAAGCCCCGGCUAACUCCGUGCCAGCCGCCGCGGUAA